rnacentral:rRNA from 1 species
GUUUGAUCCUGGCUCAGGACAAACGCUGGCGGCAAGCCUAACACAUGCAAGUCGAACGGAUAGUUGCCUGCAGCCUUUGGCUAUAGGCAAUUGUUAGUGGCAGACGGGUGAGUAAUGCGUAGGAAUCUACCUAGUAGUAUGGAAUAGCUAUUAGAAAUGAUAGGUAAUACUGUAUAAUCCCUGCGGGGGAAAGAUUUAUCGCUAUUAGAUGAGCCUACGUUAGAUUAGCUAGUUGGUAAGGUAAUGGCUUACCAAGGCUAUGAUCUAUAGCUGGUCUGAGAGGACGAUCAGCCACACUGGAACUGAGAUACGGUCCAGACUCCUACGGGAGGCAGCAGUGGGGAAUAUUGGACAAUGGGCGAAAGCCUGAUCCAGCUAUGCCGCGUGAGUGAAGAAGGCCUUCGGGUUGUAAAACUCUUUCAAUAGGGAAGAUAAUGACGGUACCUAUAGAAGAAGUCCCGGCAAACUCCGUGCCAGCAGCCGCGGUAAUACGGAGGGGGCAAGCGUUGUUCGGAAUUAUUGGGCGUAAAGGGCACGUAGGUGGACUAGUAAGUUAAAAGUGAAAUACCAAAGCUCAACUUUGGAGCUGCUUUUAAUACUGCUAGACUAGAG